AAAAAAAAAGGUCAGGUGAAUAAAGCCGAAGGAAUUCUUAGUGAAACUGGACCGAUGCAAGCUACCUCACAGACAGGAACUGCAGCACAUCUUUUCCCUUUUGACAAAUGCCGAAAGAUAAGGCUUCCCGAAGAAUCGGCCAUCUUUCAGAGCUUCUCCUUGUAGCACAUUUGUUGUGAUAUAUCACAUCAGUCUGAGGAAGCAGGCCUAGAACAUCAAGAUAACAGCAUGUCCUUCAUCAUUUUGACCUUGAACAUUUCCCCAGCAGUGUCCUGGAGGCCUCAACUAUUCCAGCCUCCUCUACCUCCCAAACUCUUGGCUUCUCAGAUAUCCCUUCUACUGUUUCUGGCUGCCUCUGCUCUGAGGGUUGGCAACCUCAGUUGGAAGUUCAUGUGCACCACCUUGAUGACCUUGCAGUACUUGUACACUUACCCCCUUCCUCGCCCCUCACUGUUUCUCCUCUGAAAUGGAAGAACAUCCCCGAGAGUAGUCUGGAUCUUUCUGUUUUUCUAAAGCUGUUUGAAGCAACUUUACAAAUCCAGCCCCCGGGACCGGGUUGAGGACGAACGAUCUUUCGAUGUUCGUCAGUUCUCGGAGCUCUGUCAUUGACUGAGGAAGGCGUCUGACUACAUCAGCAGUCUCACAGUCAGGAAGGGGGUCUCUAUCUUCCUCAAGGGACUUCUAUGAGAAAUCUGGGGCAGAGUUUCAGAGCCUCUGCCGACUGAUCCCAAUGGUUCGGAAAAGCAUCAAUUCCUCAGAGCUGAGGAUCGAACCCAGGGCCUUGUGCUCUACCACUGACCUAAAUCCCCAACCCGAAAACAUUUUUUCAUUCAAUGUAUUUUGAUUGUGAUUUUCCCCUCAUCCAGUUCCUCCCAGAUCUUCUCCUCCUCCUUACCCACCCAAAUUUAUGUUCAUUUUCUUUUUCUUAAAAAAAAAACAACAAACAGAUGAAAACAAUAAGAAACACACACACACACACACACACACACACACACA